rnacentral:rRNA from 1 species
UACGUAGGGGCCUAGCGUUGUCCGGAUUUAUUGGGCGUAAAGAGCUCGUAGGCGGUUCGGUAAGUCAGGUGUGAAAGCCCCCGGCUCAACUGGGGAGGGUCACGCGAUACUGCUCAACUCGAAGGCAGGAGAGGGAAGUGGAAUUCCCGGUGUAGUGGUGAAAUGCGUAGAUAUCGGGAGGAACACCAGUGGCGAAGGCGACUACCUGGCCUGUUCUUGACGCUGAGGCGCGAAAGCUAGGGGAGCAAACGGG